CGGUGAGCUGAGGAGAGGACGCAGUUGGCAAAAAGGGGCAGCAGGAACCAAAGAAGAAACGACCAGAAUGCAGACCAGCGGAGCCAGAGGCACGGGGCAGAAGGGGCCCAUAAGGAUGGAGCUGGAGGGUAUAGUGGAUAUGAAGACACAGAUCCCAGGGUUGUUAAGACCAAGGAGAUCAUACACACAAAAAGGCCACCUUGCCUGACAUCCACAGAUUCUGGAAUCUGUAGGGGAGACGAAGGCGUGGAACUUUAUUCUCUCCAGUGUUAAUUUCAAUCACCACUUCAAAGGGAAAAGCUAACUAGAGAACCAACUGGUCUUUUUUGCUUUAGAUUCUGGGCUUUGCUGGGACUACCUACUCACAGUGAGAAUCCCCAGACUAAGGGGGGGUGGGGGUGGACCGGUGAGCUGUGAGGGGUGUUCCAGGAAAUUAAUCAAGCACACAUAAAAAAAAGUCAACUCUAAGACUCACAUGAGAUGAUUUUGGGAGCCAGCAGAACAUGCCUGACCUUAAUUCACUAAUAGCCCAAUAUUUAAUUCAGUCACUGCUGAGAGAGACAUGAUUGUUUUGUAAACAAUACGGUAAGUAUACUUGCUACCGAAGAAGCACCACACACGACUGGCAUUGGACCAGGUUUCUUGCCAAACUUCUCACUCUGUAAAGUCUGCAGGAAUUUCUAGCUACCAUCCCUUAUCACCUGUAACCUUGAUCACAGUCCUACUCAUCACACGCAUCCCACCUGCAUUUCCCGCUAUUUUAUCAGCAAAGCUCCAGGAACUUUAAACAGAGCAACCCUAUACUUGAAAAGAUCUGUCAGAAAGUAUGACAUCAAGCUUUGGUUUGCUUGGCCCUGAAAUGAUGUUCAAUACAGAAAUAACUAACUUUAAAUACUCAGGUGGAAACUCAUUUCUCUGCCAGGGCUUGUGGUCAGGGAGUGCCUCUAAAGAGAAGUGGAAUUGGGGCACCUGGGUGGCUCAGUGGGUUAAAGCCUCUGCCUCUGCUCAGGUCAUGAUCUCAGGGUCCUGGGAUUGAGCCCUGCA